rnacentral:lncRNA from 1 species
GUCAAUAUUCAGUCCAAGAGUCCCAGAUAAAAUGACCUUUGACCAAAUUUUCAUAUUAAAAUAAUUAGGAGUUUUUUUUUAUUUUAGUUUUCUAAUUAGAUUAGGACUAGUUAUAAGGCCUAUUUAAAGGCAUGACUGUCCACCUUGUUAAACACUUAUCAUUAUUAUUAAAAUUUCAGAUUUGUUGAGAGUAGAAUUUUCUUUGAGUUUUCUCCAAGAUUUCUCUCUUGAGUUUUCUUUAGAAGUUGUUUUAACAAUCUUUUGAUUGUGGGAGCCAUCUUCAACCUUCUUCUUGCCAUUGAUAUUCUUUGGAGGGGAGAUUAGAGCCGUUUGAAGGGAUUUGUGAAAUCUUUCGGGAUUUCAAGGAUCUUUAGGACUUUUUUUAUUUCUUGCUGUUUCGUUUUAUUUCUUUAUUUCUACUUGUGCUGAAUCAUUAUCUAAUCUAUUUUCUGUUCUUAUUGUGUUUUCAGCCUUUUUCUAUCUUAAGGAAUCAGCCCAAAAAUUCCCAAUUUCUAGGGUUUUUCCAUACUCUUUUUGGGUGAAAUUAGAUUGUCGAAAUUUGGGGAAAACUAUCUUGGUGUUCAAUUGGGCAAAAUCACAAUCUCCUUGAGGGUUUCAAGAACCUUAACACUUAUUUCUAUUCUCAAUUUGAUUCUUUGCUGAUUUGGGGAUUUUAUUUCAGAUUUGGAAAUUCAAAGUUCUAAUCUUUUAAUUUUUCUGUUUCGUUUCGGAUCUGAUUGUUUAGGGUUUUCGUAGGAGUUUUCCGUGACUUGGCAACUCGAUCUUGGUCCGCGCGCAAACCCGUAUCAUUUGGUAUCAGAUUUUGGGCGUUUUGGGUGUUCUUGGUUGAUUUCUAAACUGAUCUCUAUUUUUUAAAUUACAAACAGCAGUUUUACCUAGAAAAAUUUUUGAAAAAAAUUCAUUUGAGUGGGUAAACGUUUUCUGAUUGAUCUGAAAUUUUACAUACAUAUUUUUGGCACUGUUAUUGAAUAUAAAAAAAUAUUUCCCGCAAAAAAAUAAGUCGAAAAAGUCAAAAAAUUGAAAAAAGACUAAAUCCAAUAAAAAAUUAAAAAAUAUUCAGCGGGUUGAAUUUGGUGCCCAAAUUUUCCAGAUCAAAAAUUCAAUAUUUGAAGACAUUCCAGAUUUAAUUUUGUGAUUUUUUGAGAUCGGGAACACCUCGAACGAAGUUGUCAAGUUACUCCGCAGUUUUUCGGGUUUUCUGUUUUCAACAAUUUUUAUUGAUUCUUAGCUAUAGGUUUUCAUUUGUUUGCUUUUUAUUCUCCCUUUACAAUAUCUAACACCUUCUUGUUUUUUGUGUUAGUAGGAUUUAAACGUGUGCCCAAUUCUUCCUCGGUGCAACACGAAUCAAUUGGUGUCCCGUCAGUUUUUGGGCAUCCUAGUGCAAAUUAGGAUUCUUUGGUAGUUUGGUUCACACUCUCUAAUUGGUUGAUAUAAACUCUGAUAAAGAACUCACAAGAUUGAAUUCGACCUCAUUGAGAAUUUGAUUUUUUCUUUUUGAGUGAUUAACGGUGAGGUUUGAUAACUUUUAUUUUUGAGUGUUGAGUGUUUUGCAGGUUUUAAAAAAAAUGUCUACAGGUGAUAAUAAUAGUGACAUAUUUAAAAAAUUCCAACAACAGUUGGAUGAACAGGCUGCUGCUCUUCGAGCUUUGACUGCUACCAUCAAUGAGGUGCAAUUGAAUCAAGAACCUCAAUAUCGAGAUCCAAUCAAAGAAGAUAGGGAUAAUCAACCCCAGAGGCGCGGCCCUCGACGUGUCCUUAGAAUGGAUGAUGAUUUUCAUGAUCGUGGACAAUCCUCUUUGGCAAAACCAAAGAGCGAGCAGCAACGAGAACAUUUCUUUCAUACUCGCUGCCAUGUACAAGGUAAGCUUUGUAGAGUUAUUAUUGAUGGUGAAAGUUGCUCGAACAUAGCCAGCACGACGAUGGUGGAAAAGCUUUGCUUAACCACUACCAAGCAUCCACAACCUUAUCCACUACAAGGGCUUAGCAACGAAGGCCAAUUUAGGGUCACUCAACAAGUGCGCAUUGCCUUUUCUAUCGGUAAGUAUCAAGACGAAGUUGUGUGUGACGUAAUGCCUAUUCAAGCCUGCCAUUUGUUGCUAGAAGAACCAUGGCAACUGGAUCGAAAAGUCACUCACGAUGGUCGUACCAAUAGGUAUUCUUUCAAGCAUCAAGGAAAGAAACUCACCUUAGUGCCGUUCACUCCGGAACAAGUCCAUGAGGACCAAAUCAAACUGAGAAAUUCUGUUAAAACAAGUGAGGAAAAAGAAAAAGAGAAUGAAAAAGAGCAAAAAGAGAUUGAGAGUGAAAAGGAAUGUGAAACAGAAAAGAAAAUUGAAAAAGAAGUUGAAGAAAGAAGAGAAAAUGAAUUAGAAAAAGAAACAAAAGAAAAAGACGUGGAAAGGGUAGUGAGGAAUGUUUCCACUAACCAAGAUAUGAAUUUUUCUUGUGUUGCUACUUUUCAGGUUCCCGAAAGAUCGAAAGAUAACUUUCAACUUCAAUACCUCUCAAAUGAAAGACGCUUUCAUACGAUCAACUUAAGUAAAGAUGAAAUCACACUACAUGAUCCCGAAGGUAAGCGAGGUAAGGAAAUUUUAGAAACCGAGUCUAGUGCAGAUUUGAAAAUUAUUGAUAAAACUUUUGGUGACUUAGUUCUUAAAAGAUCCCCUCAUUUUGAUCCGAUUAAUUGUUACUCUUCGAUUGUGGUUGAUAAAGUCAUUACGAAAAGAAGCGUGAUUUGUUAUUCUCUUGAUUUACCUUGUGUAAAAUCCUUAAAUUUGUCCAAAUCUGUUUUGGAGAAUAAGGUAACGAAAUUUUUCAAAUUUGUUUUCAAUUUAUAUUCGUGCCUUAAACAGUUUAUGUGGUUGUACAUGAAGUUUGAGUUCCAUUUGACAAACGUUAACUCAACAACGAAGAUUCGACUACGCUAUGCCCCCGAUGAGCGAAGGUUUGUUUUAAAUGAAAAAGGUAAAAUCGACCCUUAUUCUUCUGCUUAUCGAGGUAAGAUGCUUGAAAUCUUUGAAACACUUUUGUACUCCUCGGAUAGUGAUAAAGAUCGUGUUGAUGAACACUUAGAUCGAAACGUGCUUGACUGUCCUAUUUUAUUUAUUGAUGAUCUAUCUGUUUUGAUGGUUGAUAAAAAGAUUCUUGUUUUUGAUAAUGCAUGUGUGAGUGAAUCUAUAGACCGUCGAUUAAUGCAUGGUAUGAUUAUGCAACUCUGUGAACCAUGUGAAUCUUUUCAAAUACCUACUUGUGACGAUUAUGUUUACCAUUUGAUUUAUUACUCGCAAUUUAUUCAUGGUUUGUGGGAACAAUGUGAGACGACUGAAUGCCUUAAAACAUGUCCAUCUUUGUUUCAAAUAUUUGACGAGGCAGUGGUGAGUAAAUUAGAUUGUUUGCAUGGUAAUCUGAAUUUGUCCAUUCACAUGCGUUAUAUCUGUUCUAUUAUGCUUAUGAUUGGACUACAAGCUUAUUUCCGUUGCUAUUUACUAUCUCAUGGCUAUUCUUCUCCCAAAUUCUUGAAGGCGAGGCCCAAUAAGUAAAUUCCCAGCCCAAUCAAGAAAUCCAUCCAUACUUAGUUGAAAAUCAGGCCAAAUUGUCAAAGUGGCCCAAGUUGUAAAGUUUUAUUUUUAUUUAUUUAUUUAUUUAUUUACUUAGUUUAAAUUUUUAUGUCAAUAUUCAGUCCAAGAGUCCUAUAUAAAAUGACCUUUGACCAAAUUUUCAUAUUAAAAUAAUUAGGAGUUUUUUUUUAUUUUAGUUUUCUAAUUAGAUUAGGACUAGUUAUAAGGCCUAUUUAAAGGCAUGGCUGUCCACCUUGUUAAACACUUAUCAUUAUUAUUAAAAUUUCAGAUUUGUUGAGAGCAGAAUUUUCUUUGAG